CAGUGCAAAGGAAAAAAAAAAAUCUAAAAAUUCAGAUAAAAUCACAGGUAAGGUCAGGAUAUUUUCAGUUCUCUUUGGCAGGAAUAACAGCCUCCCUUUCUUCCUUGCCUCUUCCUCACUAAAAUGAAACAAACAACAGCAAGUAAACAACCAGAAAACACUUUCUGAUUAUUUUUUUUCUCUUAUGUGCUGCCUGUAUGCAAGGCCAGGGAAGAGUUGCUGGGGAAUAUUUUGGACGUGGCUGAAGCUGCUGUACAAGAAGAACAAACAAUUGUGUAGAAAUCCUUGUACGCUCUGCUCGGCCACAUCAGAAAGAGCAAACCCAGCACUGCCCACACCCACGCGUUUGUUGUAGAAACACACUGUUCUGACGGGGAAGCCUACACAAUAGCUGGAAGGCUCAGCAUCACAUUGCAAGUCCCUGGAUGCUUGCUUUCUGGGAAGAGUUUCCUUCAGGCUGGGACAGAGCCAGGAAAUUUGGUUUACCUGAUACACACACACGUUUGUUCUUAAUGUGCUCAGGAAAAAUACUGGUAUCGAGACUUUAGAUAUUAUCCUGAAUGUCCUAUGUAGUUACUACUUCUGUACUGCACUGGGUUUCAAAACGUUGAAGUAGGACUGACUUGGUUAGGUUAACGCACAGGCUGAACUUCAGCAGGUGCCUAUGAAAAAUUAGAAACAGCCAAAUCUGAAAGUAUCCCGAAGGCUCCAGAUCUCCACACCAAACCCUCUGCUCAAUUCAGCUACACGCAUGCGGUGCUGAGCAGAACGGCCACGGACAAACAGGGGCAGAGCUAAGGCUGCACAUUCAGCCUGGUCUCGGUCUCCCGAUUUUCAAAUGCUUGAUUCCUCACUUUAAUACUGCAUUUAUUUUUCAUUUACAUUUUUAAGAGUUACUCGUGAAAAAUAAAGUGAGGACAGCUCAAGGCAUUUUUCCCCCAAUUACUGGUUUUUCGCCACCAGGUGGCAAUGCAGCCACAGCCAUCGCCUCUUUUCUUCCCCCCCCAUUCAAUUUCAGUCACCUGCAAAUUUGUUACUAAAGCUUUUGUCUGACAUAUUUGCUUCAUCUUCAUUUAUUGCUUUUCUCUCUCAAACUUUUUAAAUCUGCUCCUCAUCCUUGUAGCCCCGUAACUGCACUCCGGCUGCCACCGGGAGCACCAGGCUGUGAUGCUCGUGACCUCCACAGCUUUUCUGUGGGGGGGAAAGAACUGGAGCUGUGUGGAUGCCCGAGGGUGUGUGGGGACAUGGAGAGAGGAGAAAUGACUGAAAUACUUUUUCCCGAAUGUCUAGACCAGAACAAGUUAGUCCUUCUAAAGCAUGACUUAGCCCCUCUGUGCUACUGACAGGGGCUUAUUUGCAAUUUUCAAUGUGAAGUUUUAUCCUUGCAAAGGCCAGUUUUGGAUGAACUCAGUUGAUGUCAGACGACUGAGAAUUUUACUUACACAGCCUCUGUAAAUGAGCAGGGAUCAGGCUCACACCUGCAGCCGCAGAGAGGUGAGCGUGUGCCUACCCAGCACAAUGCACGCGUGUGCACGCAGCCACACUGCCACCUGGCAGCACUUCUGAACAGCAGCCCUCUCAAAUAAGACUGUGAAUCUAUAAACUGAUAGUGGUUAGCUGAAUGGUUCACCACCCAACGUUAACCCACGGGAAGGGCUGUACCUUUCCAGGCCCUACCACAUCCAUCCCUCUUCAUCUGGGCAACGCAGACCUACACACGGACAUCCGGACUGAGUAAGGAAUGAGGUUCCACGAACGCAGUGUCCACUUUUAUACACGUGAGUUUUUACAAGACAAUAGGAAAUAUAGAAACUGAGAACUUCGUGUAGGAAAAGGAGUUAGUUAACCUUUAUUUCAUUUCUCCAUAGUCCCAAACUUGACAGACGUAGAAAAAUAUCCUUGAGUCUAGUAGACAAAUUUACCAAUGCUAAAUAGCCCUUUGCUCUGACCAUUUGGGCCAUCCUAGAUACAUUUGUACAAGCAUUACUUCUUUUUUUUUUUUCAGUGAAAGGUUUUGCUAAACUAUAAACAAUAAGCUACAGAGAAAAAGCUUGUUCUAUCAAAGCAUGCAUAUGAAGAUACCUUCCAAAACUUUACCCAAAAAAAAAAAAAAAAAAAAAAAGGAAAAAAGCAUCUUGACACACACCU